rnacentral:rRNA from 1 species
UGGGGAAUCUUGCGCAAUGGGCGAAAGCCUGACGCAGCAACGCCGCGUGAGCGAAGAAGGCCUUCGGGUCGUAAAGCUCUGUCAGGAGGGACGAAGCCACUCGGGUUAAUAGCCCAGAGGGUGACGGUACCUCCAGAGGAAGCCCCGGCUAACUACGUGCCAGCAGCCGCGGUAAUACGUAGGGGGCUAGCGUUGUCCGGAAUUAUUGGGCGUAAAGAGCGUGUAGGCGGCUUGUCAAGUCCGGUGUGAAAUCUGAGGGCUCAACCCUCAGCCUGCACUGGAAACUGGCUUGCUAGAGUCCGGAAGAGGAGACUGGAAUUCCUGGUGUAGCGGUGAAAUGCGCAGAUAUCAGGAAGAACACCCGUGGCGAAGGCGGGUCUCUGGGACGGUACUGACGCUGAGACGCGAAAGCGUGGGGAGCAAACAGG